rnacentral:rRNA from 1 species
AUUGAACGCUGGCGGCAUGCCUUACACAUGCAAGUCGAACGGCAGCGGACCUUCGGGUGCCGGCGAGUGGCGAACGGGUGAGUAAUGUAUCGGAACGUACCUUUCAGUGGGGGAUAACGUAGCGAAAGUUACGCUAAUACCGCAUAUUCUGUGAGCAGGAAAGCAGGGGAUCGCAAGACCUUGCGCUGAUUGAGCGGCCGAUAUCAGAUUAGCUAGUUGGUGAGGUAAAGGCUCACCAAGGCGACGAUCUGUAGCGGGUCUGAGAGGAUGAUCCGCCACACUGGAACUGAGACACGGUCCAGACUCCUACGGGAGGCAGCAGUGGGGAAUUUUGGACAAUGGGGGCAACCCUGAUCCAGCCAUGCCGCGUGAGUGAAGAAGGCCUUCGGGUUGUAAAGCUCUUUCGGCCGGGAAGAAAUCACAUGGGUUAAUACCCUGUGCGGAUGACGGUACCGGCAUAAGAAGCACCGGCUAACUACGUGCCAGCAGCCGCGGUAACAC